AUCUAUCUUGGCCAAUAUUUUAGCAAAGACUUAAUCAUUCCCUGGCAGGGUCAUUGAGAAAGAGUAUGAAUCGGGUUAGGAGAGAGAAAACCAGCUGAGAGCACAAAUCGCCCCGUGUAAUGAAAUCACCGCCGAGGCAGCGGUCUGCAUUGUGCCGUGCUGCCUCAUGCCACUGCUGGGAGACAGCUGCUCAAGGACCUUGCAGACGGGGCUGUGGCAGCCGUGCCGAGUGCUGGGGCAAUCCCAGACAUCUGCCUUCCGAGCAGGGAAUUGAAGAUGCUCCACUUUGCAUAACCUUUGCCUUAAGGUCAGAAUUACUGGUGUUUUGAAGCCAGGCACGGCUGUCCUUCUGGGGCACUGCUCACAUACAAACCUCUCACAUCAGAAUAUAUUUGGUUUUAUUUCAGUGAGCAUAUUGCUUAGCAAAAGUUGCUCAGUAACAACUAAGUUUACCAUCCAGCUCUGCUUUUUAUUUUCUCUCUCAACGCUAUGGGAUUUCACAUGAUGUGUAUUUUCAUGGGAUUAAUAUCAAUGUGAUGUGCUAUCUCCCUAAUGUAUCUCAGCUCAUUAAGUACCUUAAUUCAUUUUGUAAGAAUGCCUUUUGCCUUCUACUCAGAAGAUAUACCCAUUUGUGUAUCAUCAUUUGUAGGCUGUUCUCGACCCCAGAGCACAGAAGAAUUC
rnacentral:lncRNA from 1 species